rnacentral:rRNA from 1 species
ACACAUGCAAGUCGAACGCUGAAGCCCAGCUUGCUGGGUGGAUGAGUGGCGAACGGGUGAGUAACACGUGAGUAACCUGCCCCCUUCUUUGGGAUAACGCCCGGAAACGGGUGCUAAUACUGGAUAUUCACUGGCCUUCGCAUGGGGGUUGGUGGAAAGGUUUUUUCUGGUGGGGGAUGGGCUCGCGGCCUAUCAGCUUGUUGGUGGGGUGAUGGCCUACCAAGGCUUUGACGGGUAGCCGGCCUGAGAGGGUGACCGGUCACAUUGGGACUGAGAUACGGCCCAGACUCCUACGGGAGGCAGCAGUGGGGAAUAUUGCACAAUGGGCGAAAGCCUGAUGCAGCGACGCCGCGUGAGGGAUGACGGCCUUCGGGUUGUAAACCUCUUUCGCUCAUGGUCAAGCCGCAACAGUGGUUGUGGUGAGGGUAGUGGGUAAAGAAGCGCCGGCUAACUACGUGCCAGCAGCCGCGGUAAUACGUAGGGCGCGAGCGUUGUCCGGAAUUAUUGGGCGUAAAGGGCUUGUAGGCGGUUGGUCGCGUCUGCCGUGAAAUCCUCUGGCUUAACUGGGGGCGUGCGGUGGGUACGGGCUGACUUGAGUGCGGUAGGGGAGACUGGAACUCCUGGUGUAGCGGUGGAAUGCGCAGAUAUCAGGAAGAACACCGGUGGCGAAGGCGGGUCUCUGGGCCCGUUACUGACGCUGAGGAGCGAAAGCGUGGGGAGCGAACAGGAUUAGAUACCCUG